rnacentral:rRNA from 1 species
GCACAAGCGGUGGAUGAUGUGGAUUAAUUCGAUGCAGCGCGAAAACCUUACCUACCCUUGACAUGUCCGGAAUCCCGAAGAGAUUUGGGAGUGCUCGCAAGAGAACCGGAACACAGGUGCUGCAUGGCCGUCGUCAGCUCGUGUCGUGAGAUGUUGGGUUAAGUCCCGCAACGAGCGCAACCCUUGUCAUUAGUUGCCAUCAUUUGGUUGGGCACUCUAAUGAGACUGCCGGUGACAAACCGGAGGAAGGUGGGGAUGACGUCAAGUCCUCAUGGCCCUUAUGGGUAGGGCUUCACACGUCAUACAAUGGUCGGUACAGAGGGUUGCCAACCCGCGAGGGGGAGCUAAUCCCACAAAGCCGAUCGUAGUCCGGAUCGCAGUCUGCAACUCGACUGCGUGAAGUCGGAAUCGCUAGUAAUCGUGGAUCAGCAUGUCACGGUGAAUACGUUCCCGGGUCUU